AUUUUGAUGAAAAAUAUAAAACCUCAAAAUAUUACUGUAAGUAUAUAAUAAUGAUAUUACACUGCACUGUUUUCACGACCAGGUCAAGAAAUUGAGUCUUAUCUGCCCACUCGAAUGGGAACCAUGUUGUCUGACCUUAACAAUGCAGAAAACCUUAAACCGAAAGAGCUUGCUGUCAGUGCAAUCGGUGCAAUCGCUAACACAGCCAAGGAGAUGCUGGUGCCUUGCUUUCCUCCAAAUACUGAGAGUCUGAAGGGAUUCCUGAUGGACACAGGAGAGGAGAUGAGGGCUCUGCAGACACAGGCGCUAGACGCACUUUCUGUGUUGGCCCGUACUGUUGGGAAAGAUGUGUUAGAUUUGAACCUCAGUGAUGCAGUGGAUGACAUUUACACAUAUGCAGACAUGGUGUAAAAGGGAGGGAAACUGAAUAGUUAGGAAAGAGUAAUAAAAAAUUGUAACACUUAAUUUGUUGACUGGCUUUUAAAUAUUGAGGCUGAAUUUGAAGCAGACUGCAUUCAGCAUCGCUCUCUCAUUCUAGAUGUAGCUUAUUCUCUGCUGUAUCUGAUGUGAGUCCUGACCGUCUGUCCCCUCAACUCACUCCCAUCACCACAGUGAGGACUUUUCUCUGCACACCAUCAAACAUUACAAGUAUUCUUGUCUACUUCACAGGCUCAUUUAGAGGAAGAUUAACAGUUUGUGUCUCCUGGAGGGUGAAGAUGAUGCUGAUGAUGAAGGUGAAGAGGCCGAUGCUGUUUUGGAUGAAGAGGGAGAGACUGAAGUUGAUGACUGUAGGGAAUGUCUCUGUCUCUCUCUUUCAUCCCGUCUCUUUAGUUUCCUCUCAUUUCCCACAUGAGGAUGUGAGGAGAGCUGCCUUUGGUGCCGUGGGCCAGUUCUGCCCAACUCAGCACAAAGUGUGGAAGGAAAACCCAACGGAGGCCAACCAGCAGGGUACAUUCACACCAUUCAUGUCCGGGUGCUUUACCUCAGUGAAGCUAAAACUAUGUUGCGGAUUACCAGUGUUUAUUAAUUUUAACAUGAGCUAG
rnacentral:lncRNA from 1 species